rnacentral:rRNA from 1 species
GACGAGGGACCCUAGCGUUGUUCGGAAUCAUUGGGCGUAAAGCGGGUGUAGGUGGCUUUGUAAGUCAGGUGUGAAAGCCCAGGGCUCAACCCUGGAAGUGCAUUUGAUACUGCGAAGCUUGAGUGCCGGAGAGGUUACUAGAAUACCUGGUGUAGUGGUGAAAUACGUAGAUAUCAGGUGGAAUACCGGAGGCGAAGGCGGGUAACUGGCCGGACACUGACACUCAGACCCGAAAGCGUGGGGAUCAAACAGG